rnacentral:rRNA from 1 species
UACAGAGGGUGCAAGCGUUAAUCGGAAUUACUGGGCGUAAAGCGCGCGUAGGUGGUUUGUUAAGUUGGAUGUGAAAUCCCCGGGCUCAACCUGGGAACUGCAUCCAAAACUGGCAAGCUAGAGUAGGGCAGAGGGCGGUGGAAUUUCCUGUGUAGCGGUGAAAUGCGUAGAUAUAGGAAGGAACACCAGUGGCGAAGGCGACCACCUGGGCUCAUACUGACACUGAGGUGCGAAAGCGUGGGGAGCAAACAGG